CUGGAGCUCCCUGUAUGCCUGAGCCCUUCUAAAGACAACUGUCCAUCUCUGCCCAGUGAGUUAGCAGUGGUUCUUCUGGCUGCACGGAGGCUGGCAUGGUUUCCACUAAGGCAGCUUCUCUUUAAUGGAGAACACACCAUCACGCACAGGAAAAUAUCAGCUUCCUUCUGAAAAGGCCAUCUGUACCAGCAGCACUGCUUGGACCCAUCAGGGAUGCUGCAUAGUUUUCCCUGGGCAGCAAAUACACAGCCUUCCCCAUGAAAGAGGAAAAAAAAGAUUGCAGAUGUGGAUAGGAGGGAGACUGUUUAUGUAAGAGCACGUGGAUUAAUUGCAGCAGGUCUUGGUUUUAAACAAUAUUUAGUCUCGGGCACUUUGCUCUCCCCAUUCCCAUGCCUGCUGCCAGUUGGGGUGGGGGAGAUGUGGGGCUUUGGUGGGUGAAACGCCUGAGAUUUCCUCUAUUUUAUCUCCUGACACCUGCGAACAAUAUUUACCCUUUCCCAUUAGCUAUUACUGUCCUGCAAAAUGAUGCAAUUAAAAGCUUUGAUCUACAAAUGGAUUAAAAUCUGCCUCCAGAAAGCUGA